CAGCAUUCAGUAGCAUCUGUGCUAACAUUGGAACUAUACCAUGAAGAUUGGGAUGGCCCUGCACAAGGAUGACACACACAUUAAUGAAUUGGCCCCUAUUAAU